rnacentral:lncRNA from 1 species
GUCUAGAGCCUUCCGCCGCAGCAACAGUCUAUAGCCACUUCUUUAAGCUGCGCGUGCUUCUUACACACGAAAACCAUUAAGCAUCUGUUGUUUUUUUCUUCCCUUUUUUUUUUUUUUUCAAAAUGAGGGAAUGGGCAUUUUCUGUGUUGGGAUGGGACUUGUAGCUUUGACUGCUCCUUCCGGGCAUCUCAGGGACUUCGCUGCUCUUUUUCCUAGGAACGCCCCAGGUUUCCUGUGGGAAGACUCUCGGGGCCGCGGAUUCCUCGGGCCGCCCGCCAGCCGGCGCCCGCCAGUGCCUCCGCGGUCCACGCGAGCCUGCUCGACAUGAGGCGGAGCGUGGCCGAGCUCAGGCUCCAGCUGCGGCAGAUGCGACAGCUCCAGGUACGGCCCGGCGUUCCCGUGGGCGGUGUCCUCUGCCACGGUCUCCUCCCCACCCGCCGCCUCCCGCUCCCCGGCCGCACAGCAUCUUGCCGGUGGCCUUCUCUGCAGCAUCCUUUGGUACGGAUGACUGAGGGCCAGGGUGCAGGCGCGUGCCACCCUGGGCUCCUCCUCACACACAUCAUCUUGGUCUAGAGCCUUCCGCCGCAGCAACAGUCUAUAGCCACUUCUUUAAGCUGCGCGUGCUUCUUACACACGAAAACCAUUAAGCAUCUGUUGUUUUUUUCUUCCCUUUUUUUUUUUUUUUCAAAAUGAGGGAAUGGGCAUUUUCUGUGUUGGGAUGGGACUUGUAGCUUUGACUGCUCCUUCCGGGCAUCUCAGGGACUUCGCUGCUCUUUUUCCUAGGAACGCCCCAGGUUUCCUGUGGGAAGACUCUCGGGGCCGCGGAUUCCUCGGGCCGCCCGCCAGCCGGCGCCCGCCAGUGCCUCCGCGGUCCACGCGAGCCUGCUCGACAUGAGGCGGAGCGUGGCCGAGCUCAGGCUCCAGCUGCGGCAGAUGCGACAGCUCCAGCUGCAGAACCAGGAGCUGCUGAAGGCAAUGAUGAGGAAAGCUGAGCAGGAAAUCAGCAGCAAGGUGAUCGAGACGAUGAAGAGGCUGGAGGACCCUGUGCAGCGCCAGCGGUCCUGGUGGAGCAGGACAGGCAGAAGUACCUGCACGAAGAGGAGAAGAUCGUCCGCAAGCUGUGUGACCUGGAAGACUUCGUUGACGAUCUAA